UAACCAGGCGUUACGGGUGGAGAAAUGAAACUAUUCCUAACCUAGGUUAGUUUACGAGACCAAGACCCUUGAGGUCUUUCAAAAUAAGAAAGGGGUUAUUUUAACGUAACUGCCAUUUUUU
rnacentral:telomerase_RNA from 1 species